UCCCAGGCCUGCUCAGCUCUUUGUAGGGUCCUGGAACGCCCCUUCGUUGACCGCAGUGAGAAAUGAACCCACCUCUAAUGAAAGUCCUGGCAACGAAAUGCAGCCCACAGGCCUGACUGUGCUGCUGUGUCAGCUCAGAUGGAAACUUCUGGCAACCCAGAAACCAACUGUGAGAGUUCAUCAAGAGGGACAUGAUCCCACCACCACCUUUAGGUAGACACCAGUGCUACACAUCGAGUGUUGCAGCUCAGACAUCCACCCACCCCAGCCCUUCCCCACGUGCGCUCGCUUGCCCGCUCAUCUGGCUCUGCAGACUCCACAGGGCCAGCACGAUGUCAUUUGUUCCGCAGUUUGCUGCUGAGUCCUGCUUCUGUCACUGCCCUGCCCACUUCACUGAAGAAUGAGCAACCUGGGAGAAGGUGCCUGGCCAGCUGUGGCCCAGCAGGGAUCCAGGCCAUGACCAUUCUCCAAGGCGUGCCGUCAUCCCCGAAAGAUCAGUUCUCUGGGAGGAGACUGCUAUCUUCACACUGUUCCACAUCUUCAAAUAAAUAUGCAUUACCUUUCAACCUUGGAAACAAGGCACGUCCGAGGUGGAAGGGGCUCUGAAGCUGUGUGCAAAGCAUGCUGCAUGCUGAAGGGAACCCGCCCCUCAUGUCGGGGAACAUACCCGUGAAACUAUCAACUAAAAUGCCCGCUGCCCUCAGGGCUUGGCCAGAAGCAGGCCCAAGGAACAGUGCUGAAAUUUUAGGUGACUGGAAUUUGUAUUUCUGCUUCUGAAUAAACAUUCUGUAUACAACUUAUUAAACACUUGGAAAAU